GGUUACAGAGAGGGGACAGUGGAUGGAGUGGAGCCUGCAUCUCAUACAGGAGAAAGGGGUUCGGAUACAGGAGAACAAGAAGGAGCAGGGGCAGAAAAGUCCUAUGCCAUGAGCAGCAUCCGUGUUUGUUAUGUAUGCGCAAACAGUUCGAAACGAGCGAGCGUAUGGCUGUCUCCGUCCGGUUGUAGCGAAGUCCGACGGCGGGAUCCGAUUGUGGCGAAGUCACGCCCGUGCAGUGCGCCCACAGCAAAAAGCUCCGCGGCGGUCGCGUGACGUCGCGGCAAACGGCAAACAGCGAAUUCACAGCAGCAAACAGUGUGAAUCCUGCAAUCUCCAAACCCAAGCCCGGCGGCGAGAUCCGCGCGGCAGGCGGACGGGGCCGCUCGACCGCCUUCGUGCCGUGCGCGCCUCCCCACCUCUUCCGUUCUCCGCUCCCCGCGCCCGCGAAGGCGAAUUGCUGAAUUGAGGGUGGUGGCUCGUGCUUGAUUUUGAUUUUGGGGGUCGGUUUCAGUUCCAAUUCAUGACGGUGCGGCCGGGGUGGGUGGUGAGGGUGGCGCAUGGCUCGGCGGCGGCGUGGCAGCGCGUGGCGUGCAACCCGGAGACGCUCCCGCCUGACCGCGUCCUCGCGCUCAUCUGCUGCGCGCCACUCCACCUCCUCGCGCGCCUCGCCGCCUUCCUCUGCGUCCCCUUCCUCCCCGGGCCCGCACACACCCCGCUCCGCCUCCACCGCCGCCGCUUCCUCGUCCUCCGCCCCCCGGAGUUUGCGCCGCACCCUUUCGCUUACUCCCCCUCGUCUUCCUCUUCUUCGUCGGAUGAGGAAGAGGACGACGACGAUGGGGACGGCAUCCACGAACACGUCGAUUGAGGUUUGUAGGCCAAAAAGGAAAAAUGGAGAUAACUUUCUCAGAACAUAUCUAUUCAUGUGUUUUUGCUACAAGGUUUUGGGUCAUACCUUUGUGGGAGCACAAUGUGAUCCUGAUAUCCUCUGCGUCUCUAAUUGGUCAUAGCAUGCUAACUUAUGGGAGGUUGCUUGAGGUUAAGGCUCAGAAAAGGAGAAUUUGGGGUUGAGGAGGGAAGAAUGAACAUUGGCAUGUUGUGCUGGAUGCUGAACUGCUCGCCCUUCUAUGAUUCUAUCUCGUAGUUCUCAGGAUAUGGCAUUAUGACGACGCUCAUUAUAAAAAGCCAGGUCAGAAGCUCUGCAAAAAGGAUACCAACGGAUGAAACUGGUUUGAGUUGUCAUUAUUGUUGCUGUUGUUUAAACGAACUACUGAUUUUUUUUUUUAUAUUGAAAAGAAGAAAGUGGAUGAGGUUAAACCUUGGUAAAGAGGAUGGUUGUGUUAGACUUGGCGAGUCAACGUUAAACUUAGUCAUUUUAAUAGUAAUGGAAUCUGAAAGAAAUUCAUUGUGGCGUAAA